rnacentral:tmRNA from 1 species
GGGGGCGACACGGUUUCGACGUGGGUGAUGAAACCCGAGGUGCAUGCCGAGGAUGCGGCUUCCUCGUAAAUCCUGCUGCAACACAUUAGUUGCCAACGACGACAACUACGCUCUGGCCGCCUGAGCGGUAGCCAGCCUUCGACCGUCACGUGCCUGUGCGUGCGGAUUCCGGAGGUCGACUCACACGGGCUCGCGGCUUCGAUUGCCUCGCUCGAUGCCGUCAAAUCCCGGAGGCUCGCCGUUUCGCAGCCCUGCCCGUCGGGUGGCGAUACGGUCAAAUGAAAAGACGCGGCUAAGCAUGUAGAGCCGAAGGCGGACCGCUUGCGGACGCGGGUUCGAUUCCCGCCGCCUCCACCA